rnacentral:rRNA from 1 species
GAUGAACGCUGGCGGCGUGCCUAACACAUGCAAGUCGAACGGCAGGACGAUAAGAUUGUGUCCUUGAGGUUAGCGGCGGGCGGGUGAGUAACGAGUGGAUCACAUACUUCUUUUUCUGGGAUAAUUACGGGAAACCGGUUACAAUACGAGAGGAUAUUCUGAACCGCAUGGAUCAAAGGAGAGUGACGGCCUUUGUGGCUGAACUAGCUGGUUCCGCGCUGCAUUAGCUAGUUGGUAAGGUCCCGGCCUACCAAGGCAACGAUGCGUAGCCGACCUGAGGGGCUGAUCGGCCACACUGGAACUGAGACACGGUCCAGAGUCCUACGGGAGGCAGCAGUGGGGAAUCUUCGGCAAUGGGCGAAAGCAUGACCCAGCAAUGCCGCGUGUGUGAAGAAGGCCUUCGGAUCGUAAAGCCCUGUUAUUGGGGAAGAACAGCUGUGGGUUUAAACGAAGCUGUCUUGACGGUACCUAAUGAAUAAGCAACGGCUAACUUCGUG